rnacentral:rRNA from 1 species
AGUAAGUAGGCGCACGGGUGAGUAACACGUGACUAACCUGCCCUUGAGUGGGGAUAACCUAGGGAAACCUGGGCUAAUACCGCAUAAUAUCGAGAGAUCAAAGGAGCAAUUCGCUUAAGGAGGGGGUCGCGGCUGAUUAGCUAGUUGGUAGGGUAACGGCCUACCAAGGCUAUGAUCAGUAUCCGGCCUGAGAGGGCGCACGGACACACUGGAACUGAAACACGGUCCAG